UACGGGGGGGGCAAGCGUUGUUCGGAAUUACUGGGCGUAAAGGGCUCGUAGGCGGCCAACUAAGUCAGACGUGAAAUCCCCGGGCUCAACCCGGGAACCGCGCUUGAGACUGGAGAACUAGAGUUCGGGAGAGGAUGGUGGAAUUCCCAGUGUAGAGGUGAAAUUCGUAGAUAUUGGGAAGAACACCGAUGGCGAAGGCAGCCAUCUGGACCGACACUGACGCUGAGGCGCGAAAGCGUGGGGAGCAAACAGG
rnacentral:rRNA from 1 species